GGGAAAAACGUCGGGCGACAGGGAACGAACUCGAAAAGGCCCUCGUCUCAAUCGCCGCUACAGGGUAGUAGUGCAGCUGGGUGUAGCAGGGCUAGGGCGAGAUACCACCGCGCCGCUGCACGCCUGCACCUCCCUGCGCCGCCUCCUCCCGGCGACUUGCCGUAGCGCCGUAGUUUCCUUAUCUCGUCGGAGGGAUUCGAUUGCCAUUCUCACCACUUGUGGUGGCCGCUGGGGUUUGCAGAUCUAGGCCGGCCGCGACAUUGCGGGUGGGGUUAGCCGAGAUGGAGUUUUCACCCCUCACCUGAACUCACCGCCUCCUUCUGCCCGUCCCGCGACAGCAAGCUCUAGCCAGUCGCCUCCCCUGGUGAACUCGACUCAUCACCGCGUGCGCUCCACCAGGGUCCCUCGAUAAAGUGGGGAAUUGACUUCAGUGCGAAGGUUUCUGGAAGUACUUGUUUAAAAUGGCUCAAAAAGAGGAUGGCAUCUAUGAUUUGCCAGCCGAGCCUCCUUUGAUGACUAUCAACUUGAAGCUGAGCCACGACAAUGACUUUGCAAAAUUACACCGCUCUUAUGCAAGCCAGGUGGAGCGCCUACGGAGAAGUCUCAAGAAGAAAUUUAAGACCCUCGUGAAGGGCAAGGGAAGUAAGCAGAAGGAGUUUCAUCUCACUCCAGAUGGGAUCUGUGUUUUCACGGUUGCAUUCACUGAUGGUAAGAGGACUGUCACCGCUAUCAUUGAAGGAAGACAUAUGUGGGUGAGAGGGUUCCAAACUACAGAUGGAACCAUUUAUGAGUUCCUUAAAAAUAAGGAGGAAGAGAGUGAUGAGAGCGAUAAGAAAAAGAAGAAGAAGCAGCAGGACGACGAGAGACAUGAACCAAGGAAGUAUAUCAAAGGGUCCAUCUUACUUUCCCAUGGGGGAGGAUACCCUAGACUACUUCCUGGAGGUCCUGAUGAACUAGAAAACUUUGAAGUGGGAUAUCCUGCCCUGAAAGAUAUGCUUAACGAGCUAUCCGAGUUCGAUCCAACAAGGUCUUCUGUCAAGUCUCUGCGUGCAAUGGCAGCACUGAUAAUACACACUGCCGAGAGCAUAAAGAAUAACUUCAUCCACUUGAUUGUUUUGAAAUCACUCGAUCCACUGCUGGGUGCGCGGAUGCAGCGUUUGGCAGAACUGGGGAAGGCCUACAUCAACAACUGGGGAAAGAUAUCAAGACUAAUCCUGAGAUAUCUUCAUAUUUCAACCAAAGUUUGGGAUGUAAAUGAGCAGAAAAAGGUGAAAAAUGAAGAGUUCUAUAAAGUCCCAUGUUGGACAAAAGAUCCAAAGGACGUGCUCAAUCAUAUCAUAUUCAUAAAAGGUGAUGAAUUCCCAGAUACGGUUCUGCACGUAGAAGAUGGCAAGACACGCAACCUGCCAGAUGUACUUCAAGCUUCUCUCGGUGUGGUUGUUGUGGGGGGAGUGAACCUCGCCCUAGAGUAUACAACAGAUAUUCCUUGUGUCGCUCAAGUGUUACUGCGAGCAACUUCAUUGUCGUCAAAUGUCCAGCUCGUUGAAGGAGAGUUUCCCAUCUACACAAGUGAUCACUUAAACUUGUGUACUCUGCAUCUGAAUUUGAGGAAAAAAGAAGGACAUCACAAGGAAGUGGUUAAGUUAACCCUAACAGUGAGUGCUUUGCUCGAGGCGACUGCACAUGUGAGCCAAGUUGAUGAAGCUAUCUACUGUCAAAGGACUGAAACAUGUCAAACGAACAGUGAGAUGAGCAGGAACCAACUGGAGAUAUAUUCAAGAAACAUAGAAUUAUUCGAGAAACUAGCAGAUAAAAGAGCUACACAAUCAGGAGAAGAGUACCCAAUGAUUGAUCCAAUGCUUUUGCUGUCUAAUAAGAAAGAGACACCACUAGUGUUAAAAGAGAUUGAUGUUGAACUGGUGUGCUGAUACUACCAUGAAAUGUACUAAGUUCCAGGCCAUCGGCAAAUGUAAGCUGGAAGAAUUAUGGAGUAUUCUUGAAAGAUGAAGAGUGCCGAAGUGGCCCACAUGAUUGAAAGAGACACUGGUCAAAUCCGCGCUUCAGGCUACACCUACCUCCCCCAUUAGUUGCUUCAAGUUUAAUAAAAGACAGUGCAAGAGAUUAAGCUCCAUUUCUUCCAACUUCUGGUGGAGUGCAGCAGACGGAUCUAGGAAGGUGCACUGAUCGCUUGGUACAAAAUGUGUUGCCCAAAAAGGGAAGGAGGGAUGGGAUUUCGGAACUUUGAGGUUUUCAAUCAAGCUCUUCUUGCCAAGCAGGCCUGGAGAAUUCUCACGGUUCCAGACUCUCUUUGUCGUCGAGUUCUUAAGGCAAGAUACUUCCCGAGCUUUAGCUUUCUUUCUGCCACAUGCCCUUCACGUGGUUGAUUCACAUGGAGAAGCAUACUGUAUGGUCGGGAUCUGCUUAACCGGGGUCUCAUUUGGAGGCUCGGCGAUGGUACACAAGUGGACAUAUGGGGAAGCAAUUGGAUUCCUCGAGCUGGUGCGCAACGACCACUGGGUCGGAAGUGCGAGACCGACAUCAUAAAGGUGGCUGAGCUUUUCAAUCAGCAGGGUACAGGAUGGAACGGAGAUAAACUACAGCAGCUGUUCCAUGAUUUUUAUGUCAAUGAUAUCAAGAAGAUCCCGAUCAGUGGAGUUGGAACACAGGAUUAUUAUGCUUGGAAUUUUACUAAAAAUGGAGUUUUCACGGUAAGAUCAGCUUAUCACCUCUGUAUGGAGUUAAUAAAGAUGGAUGGAGGUCUGUUGGAAACAUCGACAUCGAUGGAGGCUCACAAAGGAUGCUCUCUGGGGUGCUCUCCUGUUCCUAGUAAGGUGAAGAUUGAUGUGUGGCGGUUGCUGAAAAACGUCUUGCUGUGGGAGCUGAGCUUCAACAUAGGAAAAUAAAUCAUGGAGUCGUUUGCGUGUUGCGUGUGGACGGGAAGAAACUGCUAUUCACAGAUUUUGGCUUUGCCCGCACCCUCGGCACAUUUGGGAGGUAAUUCGUAGUCUUGGCACUGGCCUGACUAUAGAGCGCCCUGCGAAGAUUCGUUCCCCUCGGGAGUUGCUUCAAUGGAUGCUGGAAUGGCUUGGAAGGGUGCACGACUCGGAGCUAGACACCACGAUGAUGGCUCUGUACCAUAUGUGGUUAUCCAGGAAUGAAGCCAGGGACAAGCAGAUAGAAAACCCAGAUGCGCUGGCUAAGCGUAUUGUUCACCUCACAGAAGAAUGGAGAAUUAUUCGGGCCCCAAAACCACCCAAGGCUGCUUUAAGUAGAGAGCACUGCCUCCUUCCAAGGGUGGGAUGGAUGAAAGUCAAUGCUGAUGGUGCGGUAGCGAAAUCUUCGGAGAAAGGAGGAGGAGGUAUGGUCGUGCGUGACCACCAUGGAAGCUUCCUUGUGGCGGCUUGCCACUUUUUCUCUCCACUUUUGGAUCCGGAGGAUGCAGAACUCCAUGCAUGCCAUGCUGCUCUAGGCCUGGUGAAAAGCUGAGAUUGCCGAGAGUGAUUCUGGAGAUGGAUAGUUUGGGUGUUGUGUGAAAGCUGUUGUUAGCACCUUGGCACUGAAGCACUCGAUUCAGUCAUCAAUCCGGCUACAGCCAUGGAUUUAGAGGUGAGAGGAAGGAAUCAGAGGAACAGGAGAAGAAAGACGAAGCCAAGUCUAGUUCAGGCCGAAGCCAUCCGUUCUGUAGUGGCGGCUCAGUUUCCAGCCCAAGCUGAGAGUAGAAGGGUCUCUUACAGGAAGUGUCGCUGACAGUUCAGGAUGCAGGUGGACGCAGGCUUCCACAGGCCCACUUAGCCGCGCCGUGAAAAAAAUCGAUUGGUGGCGUCGUGGACUACCUGCUGCGGGCCUUGUAGACAAUUUCCACGCAGCCUUCUUGGCCCGCUGGCCUGCACCGCUAUCUCUCUACGAAACACAUUCGUCUUCGCUGGUCUAUCCCCACGCGUUCAUCCCCACCUGCGCUGCCGCUCGUCGUCUCCGCGUUCCCUCCGUGGACUGCACCUCCCCAUCGUCAGAAAACGGCGGGGAUGGAGGAGGAGAAUAUGUCGAACAGAGGGGGAAAAGAAUCCGGCCGGCUCUCAGGUCUCCUCUUUCUUGCUGUUCUCGAUUUGGCUGAGACUUUGCUUGGUUACCUGCUUGUAACAGCAGAAGUGGUGAAUUUUACUCUUAUUCGGGAUAAUGACAGGCUUAUGGAUAAGAUACUCCAUAGCAGGAGUAGAAGAAUUUUGAAACAGGACAGGGUGUGGCUAUCUACUUUGUCAUCAUGAUGAUCUCUCUCAGCGAACCAAGAGCUGACUGACAAGAUGGUUGACAUUCAGCAAGAACUGGCCGAGACGGAGGCCUGGGCGGAGGAAAAGAGUGGGAGCUCACCACAGAAGAGCUUCGGAGCUCCGGCGUUGACGUCGAUGAGGAAGAGGCCGCCAAGGGCCGGUGCUAGCCUCCAUCGCCUUGCUUGAGACCUCCUUCGGCGUCAGCGCGCAGGAGCUUCGGCAGGAGGCCGGCGGCGAGAGGCGCGAGAGAUUGUCCAACGGCUAGAGGCGUGGGAGGGAAGCACGAGGCCGGCGACGCAAUGCUUGAGACCUCCCUCGCCCUGAACAGGGUGAGCUCGCCUAGCGGAGGAGCUCACCGAACAGGAUCUUCCGCGGGAUGCCAGAGGCACGGGCGAGCGAGCGCACGAGUAAGUUCGACGUCCGGACGGAGGGAGUAGUAUGAAUGGAAACCAUGGAAGGAGCCAAAACCCAGACUCUGGGCUCAGUUUCUGCUCCGUAACGUUGCAAACAACUAGAAAAUCAAUCGCGUGGACGCAGGAAUCUGCUAUUCCUGCUUAGCCUGCAUCACACCGGACGCAGGAACCUGCUAAUCCUGCUUAGCACGCAUGCGGAUGAUGCAGGCAUGAGCGGACACGCUGUGGGACUUGUCCACUUGCAUCCGGACUGACAGCUGUCUCAGAUGGACAAGGAUAGAUCGAUUGCUGAAUUGACUAUGAGGUAACGCUAAAAAAAAAGGACUAGAGGUUUGAUGGGCGAGAUGUUCGGCUAAAGGGGUCGCUCAUGUUUUAGCGAAAGGAAGGCUCUGAAUUAAAUAAGACUUGGUUUAUUGUACCACCUAGUUGUAUUAUGAAUCUUUUGGCUUCGGAUAUGUCCGGGCAAGUAAUAAAGUGCACAGCU